AUUGAACGCUGGCGGCAGGCCUAACACAUGCAAGUCGAACGAGUGGCGGACGGGUGAGUAAUGUCUGGGAAACUGCCUGAUGGAGGGGGAUAACUACUGGAAACGGUAGCUAAUACCGCAUACCAUCAGAUGUGCCCAGAUGGGAUUAGCUUGUUGGUGGGGUAACGGCUCACCCAGGCGACGAUCCCUAGCUGGUCUGAGAGGAUGACAAGCUACACUGGAACUGAGACACGGGCCAGACGUCUCCGGGAGGCAGCAGUGGGGAAUAUUGCACAAUGGGCGUAAGCCGGAGGCAGCCAUGCCGAGUGUAUGAAGAAGGCCUUGGGGUUGUAAAGCACUUUCAGCGGGGAGGCGUUAACCGCAGAAGAAGCACCGGCUAACUCCGUGCCAGCAGCCGCGGUAAUAC
rnacentral:rRNA from 1 species